rnacentral:rRNA from 1 species
UUUAAUUCGAAGCAACGCGAAGAACCUUACCAAAUCUUGACAUCCUUUGACAACUCUAGAGAUAGAGCCUUCCCCUUCGGGGGACAAAGUGACAGGUGGUGCAUGGUUGUCGUCAGCUCGUGUCGUGAGAUGUUGGGUUAAGUCCCGCAACGAGCGCAACCCUUAAGCUUAGUUGCCAUCAUUAAGUUGGGCACUCUAAGUUGACUGCCGGUGACAAACCGGAGGAAGGUGGGGAUGACGUCAAAUCAUCAUGCCCCUUAUGAUUUGGGCUACACACGUGC